GUUGACCUUGUUCACAUCAUCUAUGGAAUCAUGCCUCUUCUUAGGUAUAGAAACUGUCUGGUCAUGUUGAAUACUAUUCUGGUAAAAAUCUGUGGGAAACUUUGGAAUUGUCAUGGAAACCUUUCAACUGAGAGCUGUCUGGUGCCUCAUUAUCAUUAAUGUUUAUAUACAGCAGGAAUAAAAAAGCCUUAAGAAGAGCAUCUUAGAAAAACUCUAGGAAACUGUUGACAUCCUUUUUGCUUCAUAUAGAGUUAUGUACAGGUUUGUUGGAAGUGCAGCCUUUGUUUGUCCUGGUCUGGAGGCUACUGACAAAGAUCCUUUCUGUCCC